rnacentral:rRNA from 1 species
GACGAACGCUGGCGGCGUGCUUAACACAUGCAAGUCGAACGAUGAAGAAAAGAAUUGAAGCUUCGGCAGAAAUUCAUUUCGGCUUAGUGGCAGACGGGUGAGUAACGCGUGAGCAACCUACCUCUUACAAAGGGAUAGCCUCGGGAAACCGGGAUUAAUACCACAUAACAUUGCGACGAAGCAUUUCGAUGCAAUCAAAGCUACGGCGGUAAGAGAUGGGCUCGCGUCCCAUUAACCAGAUGGUGAGGUAACGGCUCACCAUAGUAACGAUGGGUAACCGGCCUGAGAGGGUGAGCGGUCACACUGGAACUGAGACACGGUCCAGACUCCUACGGGAGGCAGCAGUGGGGAAUAUUGCACAAUGGAGGGAACUCUGAUGCAGCGACGCCGCGUGAGUGAUGAAGGAAUUCGUUUCGUAAAACUCUGUUCUAUGGGAAGAAAAGGACUGUACCAUAGGAGAAAGCUCCGGCUAAAUACGUG